UUGUUGCAGUUAAAAAGCUCGUAGUUGGACUUUAGGCAAGGCGGCCUGGUCACCCUCUGGGUGUACUGGGAUCGCUGCGCCUCACCUUCGGGGAGCUAGUCGUGCUUCGGUGCGCUAGGGAACCGAGCCUUACCUUGAGGAAAUUAGAGUGUUUAAAGCAGGCUUAUGCUUGAAUACGUUAGCAUGGAAUAACAUGAUAGGACUUUGGUUCUAUUUUGUUGGUUUGAGGACCAAAGUAAUGAUUAAUAGGGACAGUUGGGGGCAUUAGUAUUCAAUAGUCAGAGGUGAAAUUCUUGGAUUUAUUGAAGACUAACUAAUGCGAAAGCAUUUGCCAAGGAUGUUUUCAUUAAUCAAGAACGAAAGUUAGGGGAUCGAAGACGAUUAGAUACCGUCGUAGUCUUAACCAUAAACUAUGCCGACUAGGGAUCGGUGGAAGUCGAUUUUGACUCCAUCGGCACCUUACGAGAAAUCAAAGUUUUUGGGUUCUGGGGGGAGUAUGGUCGCAAGGCUGAAACUUAAAGGAAUUGACGGAAGGGCACCACCAGGAGUGGAGCCUGCGGCUUAAUUUGACUCAACACGGGAAAACUCACCAGGUCCGGACAUGGGAAGGAUUGACAGAUUGAGAGCUCU
rnacentral:rRNA from 1 species